rnacentral:rRNA from 1 species
UACAGAGGGUGCUAGCGUUAAUCGGAUUUACUGGGCGUAAAGCGCACGUAGGCGGAUUGUUAAGUCGGGGGUGAAAUCCUGGAGCUCAACUCCAGAACUGCCUUCGAUACUGGCGAUCUCGAGUUCGGGAGAGGUGAGUGGAACUGCGAGUGUAGAGGUGAAAUUCGUAGAUAUUCGCAAGAACACCAGUGGCGAAGGCGGCUCACUGGCCCGAUACUGACGCUGAGGUGCGAAAGCGUGGGGAGCAAACAGG